UACGGAGGGGACUAGCGUUGUUCGGAAUUACUGGGCGUAAAGCGCACGUAGGCGGAUUUGUUAGUCAGGGGUGAAAUCCCGAGGCUCAACCUCGGAACUGCCUUUGAUACUGCAAAUCUCGAGUCCGGAAGAGGUGAGUGGAAUUCCUAGUGUAGAGGUGAAAUUCGUAGAUAUUAGGAAGAACACCAGUGGCGAAGGCGGCUCACUGGUCCGGUACUGACGCUGAGGUGCGAAAGCGUGGGGAGCAAACAGGG
rnacentral:rRNA from 1 species